rnacentral:rRNA from 1 species
CACGUAGUCGGCUUUGCAAGUCGGGUGUGAAAUCCCCGGGCUCAACCUGGGAACUGCAUCCGAGACUGCAUUGCUAGAGUAUGGGAGAGGGAAGCGGAAUUUCUGGUGUAGCAGUGAAAUGCGUAGAUAUCAGAAGGAACAUCAGUGGCGAAGGCGGCUUCCUGGACCAAUACUGACGAUCAGUGCGAAAGCGUGGGGAGCAAACA